AGGCACUCUUCCAGAGGCUUGCCAAGCAUCAUUUCAUGGGAGCCUCAAGAUAGGGUUUCUGAGCCCAUCGUUGCUACAAAGUUUUAUGACUCCCUCACAGCCCUUGACAGCUUGUCUCAUUUCAUCAUGAUAACCAGGAGGGACAUGGUGGUGUGCUCCAGGACCGCCGAGCCACGCUCAGAGUCCCACUUCCCUGCGUCUACCCACAGACCUCAAGUGAAUUUGGGAACACUCUGCCGGCGUCAUAAAUACUUCUCCUCAAUCUGCAAGCAACCACAUAUUUGUCAAGGCCGCUCUUUUCUUUCCUCUGACCUGCACUGCCCCAUGAGGCAGCCAUGAGCCACAUGCGGCCACUGAGCACUUGAUACCUGGCGAGUCCAACUUGAUACAUGGUUCCCAGGGCUCAGUGGCAUUUCUACAAUUCAACGAGGUCUCAUCUUCAUAAUGCUGGUCUGUGGAGUCAUUUUAUCUCUGAGAGAAAGAAAGAAGCUCUGUGUGUCUCUGAUCAGUGCUCUCAAUUCCCUGCAGUCCCUACCCCCAGCCCCCCUACCCUGGCCCCGG
rnacentral:lncRNA from 1 species